rnacentral:rRNA from 1 species
UAAUACGGAGGGUGCAAGCGUUAAUCGGAAUUACUGGGCGUAAAGCGCGCGUAGGCGGUUUGUUAAGUCGGAUGUGAAAGCCCCGGGCUCAACCUGGGAACUGCUUUCGAUACUGAUAGACUAGAGUACGGUAGAGGGAGGUAGAAUUCCACGUGUAGCGGUGAAAUGCGUAGAGAUGUGGAGGAAUACCAGUGGCGAAGGCGGCCUCCUGGAUCGAUACUGACGCUAAGGUGCGAAAGCGUGGGGAGCAAACAGGAUUAGAUACCCUGGUAGUCCACGCUGUAAACGAUGUCAACUAGCCGUUGGAAGGGUAAUCCUUUAGUGGCGUAGCUAACGCGAUAAGUUGACCGCCUGGGGAGUACGGUCGCAAGAUUA